UUGUGUGUUUUGUUUGCCUUAACACACAGAGUUAGAUUCUGUCUGGAACUUUUCCCCCUAUAUGUGCUGCUGCUGGAAGGAUCCCAUCUGGAGGCCACUUGUCUAGGCUGUUAGCUCAAUGACAGGCAGGCGCAGAAAUGUUGCACCUCCAUGAGCCUGUGCUGCUGUAGGUACCGCGAGCUAGCUAAAGAAAGUGAGCUCCUUGGUACGGCGCUGCCAUCAGAUGCACGUGUAAGAGGAUAUCCCCCCAAAGCCCACAGUGGUGAACACUCUGACGGUUGACUGCAGGCAACCGAGCCAGGGAACUGGGAGACAGGAAAGCAACAUAAUCCGAGCCCCUACAGUCCUUAUAUAAAUAAGACAGUCAGCGCCCCCCCCCCGAAUCCUCUCACAUCUGUCUGGGAUAGAGAUCAAGCUGCAUAGCUCUCUCACCCUCCACUGGUUCUCCCCCAUCUCUCACCCUCCCACACUGCAGUGGAAGACGACUGACUGACUCAUGGGGCCAGAGGUAAACAGCCCCUCGCCAAUCGUUCUGGGAGACAUGUUGGAAAAUAAUAUACAAGUUAAAGGCUGUAAAAGAAAAGAAAAAAGACUGGAUCCGGUGUUAUGUGGUCAUGGUUUCCCCAAUGUUUUUUCUAGAGAGUAUGAGACGUUUGGUUAUACGUUGUUGGCUGUAUAUUACAUUUUACACAAUUAUAAAAAUGUAUAAAGACACUUUUUUUUUUUUGUAUUCAAGGCUAUCAUUAGCCUUCAACAGAGGAAUGUGUAGAAGGGGCUUGGAGAACGAUCUGGGCCCCAUGUCAUUUUCUAAAACCCCCAAGUUAAAUACUUACUCAAGGAAUCUUCCAGUGGCUGCUUGCUUCUCGCAUGCUGUGCUCUGUGAAAAUGGCUGAUCCAUAGGCAGAGUUUGAAAUGUGCUCACCAUAUCGGAGAACAUCGUUAACCAAUGUCUGACUGUAAGUGAUUGUUAAUAGCAUGCUAAAUCACAUUUAAGAUGAAUUGCUCUAACUACCCAUUGUCCCUAUUAUUUGAUGUACGCCUUAAAAUAUUCCAUCCUUUGAUCGGUAUGAUUUGCAGUUUAAAUACCAGUAGGUUUUCUCUUUCAUACUUUACCUUAUGGAACACUGCAUUGACACCCUAGUUUGAACCCAAAUACCCAACCAGUAGGCCUAAUUGUCCUUAAUUAAACACCAGUGCACCAA